UCGCCUCCCCCGUUGCCCUCACCUGCGCUCCUUUGCCCUUUCUUGGAAGAAGAGAGGCCCAGAAGAAAAUGGAGGAAAACAAGGCGGGCGAAGCGAUCGAGUCUUUCGAAGAGUCUUCGCCGAAGCCUGACCCCAAUUCUAGCUCCGGCGACAAGAACAAGGCACCGGAGGUGGAAGUCCACCUCUUCCGCCGGGGACGAGGGCCGAUCGACGUCUUCCGAUCGAAGCUGGGCGGUUGGGAUCAGGAUCGCCUCGAGGUUCAAGACAUCCUCGACAAGUAUGGGUUCAAGUCCCUCUUCGCCUUUAAUCCCGAGUCGGGGAGAGGCGUCCCCAUCCGCUUCAGCUCCCGCAACGGCCGAUCAAUCCUCCCUUACACCGGAGGAUCUGUGGUCGUCAUUGAUGGAGAACCCAAGGAUUCAUUGGUUAAGCCUGUGACGAAGAUCAUGGUCGGAGUAGCAGUGCUAACACUUCUGAUCGCAAUAUUCUUUAAAGAAACACCGGAAUGGUUCAAGUCGUCAAGGUUCUCCGGCAUAACAUUUCCUCCAUGGGUUCUUGCUUGCAUGGUUAUCGUCUUCACUCGCUUGAGGAAGAGAACUAAGGAUGUGCUGAAGAAGUAUGGGCGGUGAAAAGCAAUCACUGGGAAUGGACCAUGGUGAAGAUCCGUAGGCUGCCAACAUCAACUACUUGGCAAAAACAUGGUAAAUUGCAGUGGAGUUGACUAAUCAAUAAGCAACACUGGUCCUUUUUUUUUUUUCUGAAGAAGACAUUGGAGAAUUAUGAUAUUAGCAGCGUUCUACUUCCUACUGUUUUCACCCAAUAACCUGUCUGUAAAAGUUUGGCAGCUCAUUUGGGUUACAAAUGCCAUGAAAUCAACUGUAUUCGUUCAUUACCAGCGUGUUGCUGUCUUGAUCUUAUCGAUCGUGUUUCAGAACUUCAUACUUCAUAUUGGAAUGCGAGUUAUUAAUGAUGUGGCA